UUGAUACUCCCUCCGUGUGAACUUACUUAUCGCGGAAAUGGAUGUAUAUACAUGUAUUUUAAUUCUACAUACAACCAUUUCUAUUCAUUUUAGCGACAAGUAAUUUCAGACGAAGGGAGUAUUUA
rfam:Triticum aestivum genome assembly, contig: Triticum_aestivum_CS42_TGACv1_scaffold_112737_2AS